AUGUUUCGCUCGAAACAAUGUGUGUUCAUAGGAUAUAGUGCCCAUCACAAAGGCGUUAAAUGUCUUGAUGUGUCCACCGGCCGUGUCUAUAUUUCUCGCGAUGUGGUUUUUGAUGAGACUAAAUUUCCCUUUGCUGAUCUCCAUCCCAAUGCCGGCGCUCUCCUUCGCCAAGAAAUCCUACUUCUUCCACCUAAACUUAGCGGAUUAGAUCAAGGGGGCAACAGUUGUAAUGACCAUACAUUGACUAAUCCUCAUAACCAUCUGCCUGAGCUUUGCUGUGAUACAGAUGCAGAUGCAUUCGGUGAAGAAAACGGCGAAGAAAAUGGCCAAAACGGUCACAAGAUCAGUCCAGAAGGGCAACAUUUUAUGUGUCCACCAUUGGGGGACAGAUCCCCCUUGGGAUCGUUGCCGCAGAAUCUGCCCAGGCAAUCCAACCCGGGAUCCGCGCCAUGCAGCGACGACGUCGCGCAGGAAACUGCGUCACCCGCCAGACGUGACAGCAGCGAACCAGCGGCUGCCGUGCGGCGCACUCCAACUCGUCCCCGCGUGGGUGCUGACCUGCACCAAUCCGUGGCCGACACGCGGCUGCCUGAGAGUCAUUGGGCGCCAGGAGGGCCCCGCUGCUACGAGCGACGACAAACGGCACACGCAUCCACCGGUGCUGAUUCGUCCGGGUCCACGGGCUCGCGAUCCGAUGCUGAUCCUGCCGGCCCGAUGCAAUCAUCCAGUAAUGAUGAGGGUGCGGUAGGUGCGGGAUCUGGCUCGGGAUCCUCUGCGCCACUUCUACCACACCCGCCACGUCCUGAUGCCAUAGAAAAUCCGGACGCACCUGACGGGGCUGCACCUGCGCCAGGGGGAUCUGCUUCGGGAUUGAGGACAGGAUCUUCUGCGCCACGGCCUGCUGCUGCAUCUCCUGUACAACCACGCACACGGCUCCAAAAGGGGUAA
rnacentral:rRNA from 1 species